GGUGAGAUGGCCGAGCGGUCUAAGGCGCUACGUUAAGGUCUUUCAAACCCUUAAAACUACCCUCCAGGGUGUUCUCCGUAGUCCGAAAGGGCGUGGGUUCGAAUCCCACUCUCAUCA